UGAGAAUCAUGAAGGCAACGCUGAUACUACAGGUUUGUCAGACUGUUGAUUUUUCACCCAUGAAAAAAGGUGAAGGGGUAUCCGACAGUUUAAAUCAUCAUUCAAACGCUGUAGUACUCGGCCUCUAAGAACCAACUGCCAAAUCCCCAAGCUGAACAGCAACCCACGUUUACAGCCUCUCGCAUUAGCCUAGGUGGGUCAUAGAGAUCUGAGUUUCGGGUACCUUUUCCUAGGUUUCCGGGUGAACGGAUGUCAUCCAGAACUUUUGUGCUAACAUCAUCAACUUCACGCUUUCUUCCCUUGGCUGCAGUUUUGUUCGGGCCGCACCAACCCAGAGUAUUGAGACUGAUAC